GAAUGAUUGGCGCUGCGGUGGAUUUCCUCUAGCUUGAAGUGCUGCAGAUUCUGUGGAGAUGGCUGGAGGCAUACUAAUGAAUUGUUGGGCCUCCCCAUGUUUAACAAGAUUGAAAAUUUUCUGAGCUGAUGGAAGGGGUUCAAUGAGCAAUAUCUGACUUCGAAUGCUAGAGAAUCGAUCAUGGAGCCCUUGUAAAAAUUCCAUAGCGCGAUCACGUUCAUGGCGCUCAAUGAGAACCUUGCUAGCACUACAAAUAAAUGCUUCAGAGGAGACAAGAGAGUCAUAUUCAUCCCAUAGAGAUUUGAGACGUGUGAAAUAAUUGGUAACAGUCA
rnacentral:lncRNA from 1 species